UACGGAGGGAGCUAGCGUUGUUCGGAAUUACUGGGCGUAAAGCGCACGUAGGCGGCUUUGUAAGUUAGAGGUGAAAGCCCGGAGCUCAACUCCGGAACUGCCUUUAAGACUGCAUCGCUUGAAUCCAGGAGAGGUGAGUGGAAUUCCGAGUGUAGAGGUGAAAAUUCGUAGAUAUUCGGAAGAACACCAGUGGCGAAGGCGGCUCACUGGACUGGUAUUGACGCUGAGGUGCGAAAGCGUGGGGAGCAAACAGG
rnacentral:rRNA from 1 species